rnacentral:rRNA from 1 species
UACAGAGGUCCCAAGCGUUACUGAGAAUCACUGGGUUUAAAGGGUGCGUAGGUGGUCCGUUAAGUCAGUUGUGAAAUCCCCGGGCUCAACCCGGGAAAUGCUUCUGAUACUGGCGGACUUGAGGCCAGUAGGGGUCACUAGAACUGACGGUGGAGCGGUGAAAUGCGUAGAUAUCGUCAGGAAUGCCGGUGGUGAAGACGGGUGACUGGGCUGGUUCUGACACUGAGGCACGAAAGCGUGGGGAGCGAAUGGG